rnacentral:rRNA from 1 species
CUACGGGUGGCACCAGUAAGGAAUAUUGCACAAUGGAGGAAACUCUGAUGCAGCAACGCCGCGUGGAGGAUGACACUUUUCGGAGCGUAAACUCCUUUUAUAUAGGAAGAAGAUGACGGUACUAUAUGAAUAAGCGCCGGCUAACUCCGUGCCAGCAGCCGCGGUAAUACGGAGGGCGCAAGCGUUACUCGGAAUCACUGGGCGUAAAGAGCGUGUAGGCGGAUUAAAAAGUCAGAAGUGAAAUCCUAUAGCUUAACUAUAGAACUGCUUCUGAAACUCUUAAUCUAGAAUAUGGGAGAGGUAGAUGGAAUUUCUGGUGUAGGGGUAAAAUCCGUAGAGAUCAGAAGGAAUACCGAUUGCGAAGGCGAUCUACUAGAACAUUAUUGACGCUGAGACGCGAAAGCGUGGGGAGCAAACAGGAUUAGAUACCCUGGUAGUC